CUCCCUGGGGUGUUUUGUUUACAAACAACUUAUUUUUAUUUUCAUUCAGUGUUGGUUCUGGCAAUUUUCUGUAGCAAAUUUCUGUUGAAUUUACGCUAUUUAAGCAUUAAUCCACAAUGUACAAACAUCCAAUUCUUACAAAAGUUCCGGGAGACAUUUCGCGUGGCAGCGAAAAGGAGAAACAAGGAUAUAUUCAAGAUAUCACCAAGCUUAAUAAAACUGAGCUUCUGGACCUGAAAGAGCGUCAGGAGUUGCUGCUAAAAAACAAAGCACGGUUAUCAAAGCUUCCGGACAAAGGUACUAAGAUUGAAUCUUUCUAUAAGCAAAUUCUGCAACAGCUCAAAGUACACGACAAUGUAGACCGUGCUGCCGAAAUGUUCUCGGAGCUCAACAUAGCGUCUGUUGGUAAAUCAUCCAUGGCCAAAAUGGAAUGGAGCGGACAGUACAAUACACGACCCGAUACAACCGAGGUCGUUGACAGCGACGACGAUUUUGAUAAUGAGACUGUAGAUCCGCUAAAAAUACUAGCACAAAGCACACAGCAUAAGAAAAAGAUCAUUCUGGCCAAACCGGAGCCAACGCUGGUGACACAGCAAGAUCUCGAAGACAUAGAGCAGAUGAAGCAGGAACAGUCGGAAUGCAGCUCUGCUGACUUGGUUGAAAUCGAUGUGCAGAAAUCUGCUGGCAAAUUGAACACUUUCUUGAAACAAAAACAGCAGACUAAUGAUGGUUCUCUAGCUGCAAAUGGCACUGAUUUGGACGGUCAUUCCAUUCUGCUGUGCAAAAAGGAAAGUAAUAUGUCACCCAAGCAAAAGUUUCUCCCGUUCCGCACAACAAAGUCCAAUGUGCAUGAUCCGGAAAAGGAAAAACAAAGGUUCCUGGGCCAUUCAAAAAACUGGGAAAACACAUCUGCUACGCCUCCCGCAAUUACACAUGCUCCGGCGCAGGUCCUAACUCUCGAGGAGUCCAUAAAAUUGCAGGAAGAGAAAAACAUUCUAAUCCAGAAGGCCCAAGAGCAGUAUGCAGGAGAACGACUUCAACGGCGGCAGGAAAUCAAAGAGAGUGUCAGGUCCACCAUUGCCAAUGACGUAAUGCCCGGGUCAAGCCAGUUCACCACCUACCGAGAUGUAUGGGAAAGCGAAGAGGAAAUGAAUGAAGAUGAUGAUGAUGAUGUUUCUCACAUUGCAUUGCCGGUGGACAUGGAAGACGCUUAGGGUAAGUCUUUUUUAUUCAGAUUUAUUCUACAAAGGCCAUCGAAUCCUUUACCUCAUUAGCUCAGUUAUGCAACAAAACACAUUAUUUUUUUAUAAUUCGAACUAGAUUUAUGAAUUAGUCUAAUGGCCUAAGAGAAUGUUUUUUGAAAUAUAAUUAGGUUAUGACAUUUUGUCUGAAGAUUUA